rnacentral:rRNA from 1 species
AACGAACGCUGGCGGCAUGCCUAACACAUGCAAGUCGAACGAGACCUUCGGGUUUAGUGGCGCACGGGUGCGUAACGCGUGGGAACCUGCCCUUAGGUUCGGAAUAACUCCCCGAAAGGGGUGCUAAUACCGGAUAAUGUCCUCGGACUAAAGACUUAUCGCCUUUGGAUGGGCGCGCGUUGGAUUAGCAAGUUGGUAGGGUAAAAGCCUACCAAGGCGACGAUCCAUAGCUGGUCAGAGAGGAUGAUCAGCCACACUGGGACUGAGACACGGCCCAGACUCCUACGGGAGGAAGCAGUGGGGAAGAUUGGAGAAUGGGCGAAGGGCUGAUCCAGCAAUGCCGCGGGAGUGAUGAAGGCCUUAGGGUUGUAAAGCUCUUUUAGCCGGGAUGGUAAUGACGGUACCGGGAGAAUAAGCUCCGGCUAACUCCGUG